GUGAACUGGCGCGUGCUAUACAUGCAAGUCGAACGCUUCUUUUUCCACCGGAGCUUGCUCCACCGGAAAAAGAGGAGUGGCGAACGGGUGAGUAACACGUGGGUAACCUGCCCAUCAGAAGGGGAUAACACUUGGAAACAGGUGCUAAUACCGUAUAACAAUCGAAACCGCAUGGUUUUGAUUUGAAAGGCGCUUUCGGGUGUCGCUGAUGGAUGGACCCGCGGUGCAUUAGCUAGUUGGUGAGGUAACGGCUCACCAAGGCCACGAUGCAUAGCCGACCUGAGAGGGUGAUCGGCCACAUUGGGACUGAGACACGGCCCAAACUCCUACGGGAGGCAGCAGUAGGGAAUCUUCGGCAAUGGACGAAAGUCUGACCGAGCAACGCCGCGUGAGUGAAGAAGGUUUUCGGAUCGUAAAACUCUGUUGUUAGAGAAGAACAAGGAUGAGAGUAACUGUUCAUCCCUUGACGGUAUCUAACCAGAAAGCCACGGCUAACUACGUGCCAGCAGCCGCGGUAAUACGUAGGUGGCAAGCGUUGUCCGGAUUUAUUGGGCGUAAAGCGAGCGCAGGCGGUUUCUUAAGUCUGAUGUGAAAGCCCCCGGCUCAACCGGGGAGGGUCAUUGGAAACUGGGAGACUUGAGUGCAGAAGAGGAGAGUGGAAUUCCAUGUGUAGCGGUGAAAUGCGUAGAUAUAUGGAGGAACACCAGUGGCGAAGGCGGCUCUCUGGUCUGUAACUGACGCUGAGGCUCGAAAGCGUGGGGAGCAAACAGGAUUAGAUACCCUGGUAGUCCACGCCGUAAACGAUGAGUGCUAAGUGUUGGAGGGUUUCCGCCCUUCAGUGCUGCAGCUAACGCAUUAAGCACUCCGCCUGGGGAGUACGACCGCAAGGUUGAAACUCAAAGGAAUUGACGGGGGCCCGCACAAGCGGUGGAGCAUGUGGUUUAAUUCGAAGCAACGCGAAAGAACCUUACCAGGUCUUGACAUCCUUUGACCACUCUAGAGAUAGAGCUUCCCCUUCGGGGGCAAAGUGACAGGUGGUGCAUGGGUUGUCGUCAGCUCGUGUCGUGAAAAUGUUGGGUUAAGUCCCCGCAACAAGCGGA
rnacentral:rRNA from 1 species